rnacentral:rRNA from 1 species
AUUGAACGCUGGCGGCGUGCUUAACACAUGCAAGUCGAGCGGUAAGGCCCCUUCGGGGGUACACGAGCGGCGAACGGGUGAGUAACACGUGAGCAAUCUGCCCUUCACUUUGGGAUAACUUCCGGAAACGGAAGCUAAUACCGAAUACGACCACUUCCGGCAUCGGAUGGUGGUGGAAAGUUCCGGCGGUGAAGGAUGAGCUCGCGGCCUAUCAGCUUGUUGGUGGGGUAACGGCCCACCAAGGCUUCGACGGGUAGCCGGCCUGAGAGGGUGACCGGCCACACUGGGACUGAGACCCGGCCCACACUCCUACGGGAGGCAGCAGUGGGGAAUGUUGGACAAUGGGCGAAAGCCUGAUCCAGCAACGCCGCGUGGGGGAUGACGGCCUUCGGGUUGUAAACCUCUUUCAGCGGGGACGAAGCGCAAGUGACGGUACCCGCAGAAGAAGCACCGGCCAACUACGUGCCAGCCGCCGCCGUAAAAC